GGGUUUCUUCAACGCUACUCUCUCUGAAACCCUCCAAUUCCUUCACAGGAUACUUAUAUAUAUCCCUACUUCUGCGUGCCGCUCUCGACAAGAAGAAGAAAGCAACAGUCUUUCACUACCAGAAAACACCUCGUUUCUUAUUUGUCCUUCUCUGAUCGCAAAUGGACUUUCACAGCCUUGCAAGGAAAGAGCUCCAAGCUCUCUGCAAGAAGAAUAAGAUCCCAGCUAACAUGACCAAUGUCGCCAUGGCCGAUGCUCUCAAAGCUCUUGAGAAGGUGGAAGGACUUGAUGAACUCAACAAUGAACCCAGAUCCAAUCCUCAGGAAUCCCCGGAGAGAACUACUAAUGCGGAGCCUCGAACUGCAUGCAGAACCUCUACUAGGAGAAAGCCUAUUAAUGUUGAGCCUGAAAGUUCACAACCCGUGACUCGUACUCGCCGCGCAACAAGAAGAACAGUUGCUGAAGAGGCUGAACAAGAAAACAAAAAUGUGAAUCUACUGGAGACUCCUGCAAUGCUCACCACCCGCAGAAGGGCACCAGCUGCUUCAGCACCCCGGAAAAUGGAUGCCCAAUUGAUGGAACUCGGGGAGGAUGAGAAACUAGUAGGUCAAGAGAAGAGUGAUGUGCCAGAGACUCCAGCAAUGCGAACUUCCCAGAGGAAGGCUCCAGCAGUUUCAACAAGGAGGAAAACUGAGGCUCGGAAGGAUGAAAAAUCAGUUCAGAGAGUAUACGGUACGAGGAAAUCAGUGAGGUUGUUGGAGAAAAGCAUGGCUGAUUUGAGCUUGAAGGAGAAAUGGAGAGUUGAAGCUGUGAAGAUUGAGGGAUUGUGUGAGAAAACUGAGGAAGUUGAACAGAAGAAUGAUAUGCCUGGAGGUGAUUCCCAAUUUCUUUCAUGCCAAAACAUAGAUGUGUCACUCGAGAAUGAAAAUGAAAUGCUGCAUGGAGUUCAAGAGGACAACAACAGUAAUGACCAGGAAGGGGAUGGUUCUGAAGUUCUUUCAUUGGGAAACUUGGAGCAUUCUCUAGGGAACGAAAGUGAAAUGAAGCAUGAAUUUCAAGAGGACAACAAGACUAAUGACCAUGAAAUAGAUAACUCAGUAGUUUCUUUUCAAAAAUUGGAUCAGCCUCUAGAGAAUGGAAGUGAAAUGAAGAAUGAACCCAAUGAGCACAACAAUAAUGCUGACCAUGAAGUGUAUUCAGAGGUUCUUUGCCAGAACAUAGAUCAGUUGCACAAGAGUGAAAGUGAAACAAAACUUAAACAUCAAGAGGAUAAAAGGGGAAAUGAUCAUGAAGUGGUUGAUUGCAAUGCGGAAAUAGAAAUAGGUUCUGAGUCUUGCACUAAUUUGGAUAACGAUUCAGGACUAGGGGAAGAUGAUGAAGACAAUUGUGAGAGUUCAGAUGAAUCAUUUUUUCAGCAAGUGGAAACCUCAGAGGUAGAUAUGAAUUGUGAAUCCAUGGAUGAGAAAGGUAUGUUAUUUUUUUUUCUUGCCUUGUAGACCUUUAAUCUAAGAUUUUCUUCUUUGUUUUAUUUACAAGUCAUUUAAUGUACUUUGUUCAGGAUCACAUGUUGUGAUAACUGAAAACUCUGAGACUUUGAAUGCUGCUUUGAAGCCAGAAAUUGAAGAACUGAAUGGCAAUCAAGAUUCUAUGAUUGUUGAAGUGUCUGAUGAUAGUUCUGCUUUUGUCAUGGAAACAAUUGUUAAUGUUCCAGAUGAAGUUUCAGUUGAGGUCAUGGAUUCAUUGAUCCCUGAGGUAUCUGAAGCUGAGGGCAAAAGCUCUGAAAUCAAUUUGAUGGAGGAUGAGCAGCAUGGCAGUGAUGAUCCGCAUUCAGAUCCUGCUACUGAGAAAGAUUCUGAUGGUAAUGCCAUUGAGGAAUUGCCUGAUGUAUCUGAAGCUGAGGGCAAAAGCUCUGAAAUCAAUUUGAUGGAGGAUGAGCAGCAUGGCAGUGAUGAUCCGCAUUCAGAUCCUGCUACUGAGAAAGAUUCUGAUGGUAAUGCCAUUGAGGAAUUGCCUGAUGGCAGUAGAUCAGAUGAAGUUCAAGAAAAUGACAAUGCAGCAAAAAUCCAAGAGAAGGCUCCAUUUCUUCCUCAAGUUGAGU
rnacentral:misc_RNA from 1 species